AGUUCCUACAGGAAGGUGCAGGGGAUGGAAAUGUUUGGGGUGAGGUCUGGGUCACUUACAGACAAUAAAGGGGUUUGGGGUGGGUUUGGGGCUGGCUUUGGGGUGCUGCCCAGCUCCCCUAUAGAAGGGUGGUGUGUGGAGUCUCACAGUGAAUUUCCCCUCUAAUAGGAUGAGUUUCUCCUCUGCAGGUUGAAUUUCCCCUCUAUAAGGUGCAUUCCCCCCUGCAGGGUGCAUUUCCCCUCUAUAGGAUGUAUCCCCCCUCUAUAAGGUGCAUUUCCCCUCUACAGGGUGAAUUUCCCCCCAAAGCUUCUCUCUCAUCUAUAGGGUGCACCUUUAUCCUCAUCAUUAUUUGCUGUUUAUUACGAUUUCUUAUCCUCUACUCUUCAUUAUUAAUUAUCAUUAUUGGGUUUUAAGAAUUGCUUAUUUCUA